rnacentral:rRNA from 1 species
CUCGUAGUUGGAUUUCUGGCAGGAGCGACCGGUCGCACGCUAUGCGUGUGAACUUGUGUUGUCUCUGGCCAUCCUUGGGGAGAUCCCGUUUGGCAUUAAGUUGUCGGGCGGGGGAUACCCAUCGUUUACUGUGAAAAAAUUAGAGUGUUUAAAGCAGGCUUAUGCCGUUGAAUAUAUUAGCAUGGAAUAAUAAGAUAGGACUUUGGAACUAUUUUGUUGGUUUGCGUUACAAAGUAAUGAUUAAUAGGGACAGUUGGGGGUAUUCGUAUUUCGUUGUCAGAGGUGAAAUUCUUGGAUUUCCGAAAGACGAACUACUGCGAAAGCAUUUACCAA